UGAGGAAUUAUGCGCAAUGGACGAAAGUCUGACGCUGCGACGUCGCGUGGGUGAUGAAGGUCUUCGGAUCGUAAAACCCUGUCGAGAGGGAAGAAAGAGCGGGCGCUAAUAUCGCCUACUUCUGACGGUACCUCUGGAGGAAGCCCCGGCUAACUCUGUGCCAGCAGCCGCGGUAAUACGAAGGGUCCUAGCGUUGUUCGGAAUCAUUGGGCGUAAAGAGCACGUAGGUGGCCUUGUAAGUCAGAUGUGAAAGCCCAGGGCUCAACCCUGGAAGUGCAUCUGAAACUGCUUGGCUUGAGUACAGAAGAGGUAAGUGGAAUUCCUGGUGUAGUGGUGAAAUACGUAGAUAUCAGGAGGAACAUCGGUGGCGAAGGCGGCUUACUGGUCUAGUACUGACACUGAGGUGCGAAAGCAUGGGGAUCAAACAGGAUUAGAUACCCGGGUAGUCCCUGAGCGGGCUGGCAAGGCGCAU
rnacentral:rRNA from 1 species